rnacentral:rRNA from 1 species
UUUCGAAUCAUUCACAAUGGGCGAAAGCCUGAUGGUGCGACGCCGCGUGAGGGAUGAAGGUCUUCGGAUUGUAAACCUCUGUCACUGGGGAGAAAACGCUUUGAGUUAAUAGUUCAAAGCCUGAUUUAACCCGGAGAGGAAGCAGUGGCUAACUCUGUGCCAGCAGCCGCGGUAAUACAGAGACUGCAAGCGUUAUUCGGAUUCACUGGGCGUAAAGGGUGCGCAGGCGGCCAAGUGUGUCAGAUGUGAAAUCCCGAGGCUUAACCUCGGAACUGCGUCUGAAACUACUUGGCUAGAGUAUUGGAGAGGGUAACGGAAUUCACGGUGUAGCAGUGAAAUGCGUAGAUAUCGUGAGGAACACCAGAGGCGAAGGCGGUUACCUGGACAAUUACUGACGCUC